rnacentral:rRNA from 1 species
CAGGCUUAACACAUGCAAGUCGAGGGGCAUCAGGAAGAAAGCUUGCUUUCUUUGCUGGCGACCGGCGCACGGGUGAGUAACACGUAUCCAACCUGCCCUUUACUCGGGGAUAGCCUUUCGAAAGAAAGAUUAAUACCCGAUGGCAUAAUGAUUCCGCAUGGUUUCAUUAUUAAAGGAUUCCGGUAAAGGAUGGGGAUGCGUUCCAUUAGGUUGUUGGUGAGGUAACGGCCCACCAAGCCUUCGAUGGAUAGGGGUUCUGAGAGGAAGGUCCCCCACAUUGGAACUGAGACACGGUCCAAACUCCUACGGGAGGCAGCAGUGAGGAAUAUUGGUCAAUGGGCGCUAGCCUGAACCAGCCAAGUAGCGUGAAGGAUGAAGGCUCUAUGGGUCGUAAACUUCUUUUAUAUAAGAAUAAAGUGCAGUAUGUAUACUGUUUUGUAUGUAUUAUAUGAAUAAGGAUCGGCUAACUCCGUGCCAGCAGCCGCGGUAAUACGGAGGAUCCGAGCGUUAUCCGGAUUUAUUGGGUUUAAAGGGAGCGUAGGUGGACUGGUAAGUCAGUUGUGAAAGUUUGCGGCUCAACCGUAAAAUUGCAGUUGAUACUGUCAGUCUUGAGUACAGUAGAGGUGGGCGGAAUUCGUGGUGUAGCGGUGAAAUGCUUAGAUAUCACGAAGAACUCCGAUUGCGAAGGCAGCUCACUGGACUGCAACUGACACUGAUGCUCGAAAGUGUGGGUAUCAAACAGGAUUAGAUACCCUGGUAGUCCACACAGUAAACGAUGAAUACUCGCUGUUUGCGAUAUACAGUAAGCGGCCAAGCGAAAGCAUUAAGUAUUCCACCUGGGGAGUACGCCGGCAACGGUGAAACUCAAAGGAAUUGACGGGGGCCCGCACAAGCGGAGGAACAUGUGGUUUAAUUCGAUGAUACGCGAGGAACCUUACCCGGGCUUAAAUUGCAGUGGAAUGAUGUGGAAACAUGUCAGUGAGCAAUCACCGCUGUGAAGGUGCUGCAUGGUUGUCGUCAGCUCGUGCCGUGAGGUGUCGGCUUAAGUGCCAUAACGAGCGCAACCCUUAUCUUCAGUUACUAACAGGUUAUGCUGAGGACUCUGGAGAGACUGCCGUCGUAAGAUGUGAGGAAGGUGGGGAUGACGUCAAAUCAGCACGGCCCUUACGUCCGGGGCUACACACGUGUUACAAUGGGGGGUACAGAAGGCAGCUAGCGGGUGACCGUAUGCUAAUCCCAAAAUCCUCUCUCAGUUCGGAUCGAAGUCUGCAACCCGACUUCGUGAAGCUGGAUUCGCUAGUAAUCGCGCAUCAGCCACGGCGCGGUGAAUACGUUCCCGGGCCUUGUACACACCGCCCGUCAAGCCAUGGGAGCCGGGGGUACCUGAAGUACGUAACCGCAAGGAUCGUCCUAGGGUAAAACUGGUGACUGGGGCUAAGUC